AUCUCAACUCGAACCUCUUGCUAAGGGACGCGCACGAUAAGCUUAAGGUUGCACGUAUAAUUGGGCUUUAUUAUGGUUAUUGUUAUUCAUCAAGUCGAAUUCAAACGGUAUUUGUUAAAGUAAAAGGUUUGCAAAGAGAAAAAAAAAGAAAGAAAAAAGAAAGUGGUCUGUCUGAGUAUAUGUUUGUGGGUACCUUCUGAUCAUAACAAUGUAACCAUUUCCAACAGAGCAUACUUGGGUGUGACCUCGGGUAACUAGGCAACAUGUUCAGCACAACAUACCUGGGUGUGACCUCGGGUAACGAGGCAACAUAGUCAACACAGCAUACCUGGGUGUGACCUCGGGUAACUAAGCAACG